GUGGAGGAAGGUCCUUUUACUGGAGGGGGUGGGGAUGACGUCAAAUCAUCAUGCCCCUUAUGACCUGGGCUACACACGUGCUACAAUGGACGGUACAAAGAGCUGCAAGACCGCGAGGUGGAGCUAAUCUCAUAAAACCGUUCUCAGUUCGGAUUGUAGGCUGCAACUCGCCUACAUGAAGCUGGAAUCGCUAGUAAUCGCGGAUCAGCAUGCCGCGGUGAAUACGUUCCCGGGCCUUGUACACACCGCCCGUCACACCACGAGAGUUUGGACCCCCGAAGUCGGUAGGUACCCUCUGAC
rnacentral:rRNA from 1 species